GCAAAGUAGAAAAGUAAGUUAGAAUAGACAAGUCGAAAUAUAUGACAUCAGGAAUUGAUAGCAGUCUCUGGAAGCCAGAGGAUGCAACAGGAAAUGCUAAUGAUAAAUACUAAAUUCAUUCAACAGAAGGAACAAAAUUUUGGACUUGCUAGGCAUAUAGUAGGUGAUCACUACAUCUUGCGAAUAAGAAAAAGGGGGCUGAUGAGGUCUAGGGGUACUUUUGAUGUGUAAACAAGCUUCUCCUUCUCAA